rnacentral:rRNA from 1 species
UACGUAGGUGGCAAGCGUUGUCCGGAUUUAUUGGGUUUAAAGGGUGCGUAGGCGGUCCUGUAAGUCAGUUGUGAAAUACGGCAGCUUAACUGUCGAGGUGCAAUUGAUACUGCGGGACUAGAGUACUGAUGAGGUAAGCGGAAUGGACGGUGUAGCGGUGAAAUGCUUAGAUAUCCGGAGGAACACCAGUGGCGAAGGCGACACGCUGGGCCGUACCUGACGCUAAAACGCGACAGCAUGGGGAGCGAACGGG